rfam:Trichuris muris Edinburgh genomic scaffold, scaffold54
AUGCGCUCGGCGCCGAUGGGUGUGCGUUUAGUGCAUGUUGAAUUCGAAUCAUGACUAGAUUCACACUCAUCGGGGCUGAAUGCGA